CUGGCUGCCAUUGAGCCAGACACAGUUAUAAUUCCUUUCUGCUGGCUGCUGGCAGCCCUCAAUGUGGCCUUUGUCUUGUCAACACAGGGCCCUUUGACCUCCAGUUCUACUGUUCUGAUCAAAAUGCCAGAAUGGGUCUCCAGAUCGCCAUUGAUGCUGUAAUAUAUCCUCUUAGAAGAGGAGGGAAAUGGAAGGUCAGCAUGAAGACAUUGAGAUCCAGGUUUCUGGACUCACACAGACUUGAAACCAAAGCCAGGCUCGAGCACAGAUAGUUCGAGGCUCCAGGAUGUUCCUGAGAUGGCGAAGCUGGCAUCCCUCACGGUCUGAAGGCAGGGGAGGCCCUGAGCUAGCCAAGGAGACCUCACACUGGAAC
rnacentral:lncRNA from 9 species